rnacentral:rRNA from 1 species
AGUGAACGCUGGCGGUAGGCCUAACACAUGCAAGUCGAACGGCGGCACAGGAGAGCUUGCUCUCUGGGUGGCGAGUGGCGGACGGGUGAGGAAUACAUCGGAAUCUGCCCAGUCGUGGGGGAUAACGUAGGGAAACUUACGCUAAUACCGCAUACGACCUUCGGGUGAAAGAGGGGGAUCGCAAGACCUCUCGCGAUUGGAUGAGCCGAUGUCGGAUUAGCUAGUUGGCGGGGUAAUGGCCCACCAAGGCGACGAUCCGUAGCUGGUCUGAGAGGAUGAUCAGCCACACUGGAACUGAGACACGGUCCAGACUCCUACGGGAGGCAGCAGUGGGGAAUAUUGGACAAUGGGCGCAAGCCUGAUCCAGCCAUACCGCGUGGGUGAAGAAGGCCUUCGGGUUGUAAAGCCCUUUUGUUGGGAAAGAAAUCUUUCAGGCUAAUACCCUGGGAGGAUGACGGUACCCAAAGAAUAAGCACCGGCUAACUUCGUG